CUGGCUCUUUUGAACCAUUUAUCUCUAAAAGUACUGCGUGAAAUAUCUUAGACAGUUGCUAAUUGCAAGUCGUGGCAACGAAACUAAAACUCUUUGCCCUCCCAUGACAGCUCAUUACAAAUGUUCCCAUGUUUCAACAAGCUCUCUAAACUGGAGCUGGAACUAAAUUCAAGUGUAUCGUCCAAUUUGUUCCACAGUGUCAUCAGACUAUGAUGAUUUAAUAUUUUUACACUGGCCUCUGUUUUUCUGCCAGCUGAUGGAGCAAACAACAGUUCAAGCAAAGUGACUUACAUCACGGCUUGCAAUGCUAGAGAAUUUUCAUGAAUAAAUAUUAGUAUUAAAUUAACAAAUGAAGUAAAUAAAUUUAAAAAUGGCUUUUAGGACGUAAAAAUAUAAUUUAACAUGGAAUUCCUGAACAAAAUAGGGGAAAAUUACUUAAGAAAAAUAUUUUUUUAUUUUUUUUUACAUUGGUAUAAAACAAUUUGAUACUUUUCUACAGCCUUUUCCACAAAAAUAUUACACAGCACAAAUGUUUUAAGCAUUGAUAAUCAGCUUAGAAUUAUUUCUGAAAGAUAAUGAAGAUCCUGAAGACUGGAGUAAUGAUUCUGAAAAUUCAGCUUGCCAUCACAGGAAUAAAUUACACUUUAAAAUAUAUUCAAAUAGAAAACAAUUAUUUUAAAUUUUGAAUAAAUUUUAACAAACAUUUUUUUUUUUUUUGUAUUAAUAAAUGCAGCAUUAGUGAGCAUUAAAGACUUCUCUUUAAAAAAAAAAAUUAAAAUCUAACCAACCCCAACAUUUUGAAGGUAGUGUAACAAAAAUAAUAAUUUCAAGAAAAUAUAUUGCAUUUCCACCAGGCAAAGAGAGUGACAACACUAGCCAGCUAUGUUUUUAUAUCUUCAGGAUAUCCACUAUAUUUAGAUUUCAAAAAUCUCAAAGGUAAUAAAAGCAAUGUGAGAGUUGGACAGCUUGUUUCAAACACGUUCAUGAAUAUACGAUUGAAAAGAAAGCGGUCAGUAAAUUGGCUUUUCGAAGCUUCAGGAUAUGAGGUCUCCGACAGCGUUCAUAUGUCUGAUUCAUCGCAUCUCACCAUUCAGUAUGAAAUUAGUAAUUAUCAUUAACGAAAUGGACUGGAGGAAAGACAGCACACAAUGAGAAAUCAUCUUUCAACGCCAAAGUGUAGAAGUCAUGAUCUUGCGCUCCGUCUGUCGUAUAUUCAUUACUUCUCUCACAGGGACGUUUGGAGCCCUGGAGGACUAUUAAUUGGAGAAGGGGCAGGCUCCCAGCAUGCACUACAGGGUGCCAGGUGAUGGCAGACAGACAGUCCUGGCACUGAAUUGAUGACAAGCUUUCUCCUGGUGGAAAUGACUGUGAAGGUCAGCCAAAGGAGCAAAUCAAAGACAAAAUGUUGGGAGGCCGACAAGAAGAAAAAUGUAGUCCUCCAAGGGCAAAGGAACAGCCUUUUUGAUCACGUCCUUUGUCUGAGGAACAAAAGAGUCUCUUUGCUACUUGGAGCAGGUCCCCAUUGCUACAUAAAGACAGACUUAGUGGUUUCAGGGAGUGAAAAAGCAGAAAAAGUUGCAAAGCGCACCAUGAGCCAACAGUAACCAAGUGAAAAAAAUAAAAAUAAACAACAGAUUCACUCUUCAUUAAAUCCUCACCCCUUGCCCAUGAGGCUUGCAGGUUUUGCGAGGCCAAGAUUGCUCUUGUUUGGCUGCUUCUUGCGGCGGGUCAGCUUUUUGCAUCCAGAGCCCAUGGCAGGCACAUCCUUGGCUUGCUGGGUGCCGUUGCUCCCGCUGCCCUUGCUGUUGAGGUCCCGCAAAACAUCAUAAUUGAUCUUACUGGAGAUCUUUUUCUGCUCCAGCAUCUUCUCUAUGGCCUCUCCCGCAGUGCUGGCCAGGAUCGGCUCUCGCUUCUUGGAUGGCUUCUUUGGCUAGACAAAUUGGAAUAGAAGUUGUUUACAGUGAAAAACAAACAUUGGAGUCAGUGCCUACAUGGCUCUUAUUUAUAGAGUCCUUUGGCUUUCUAAAAACAUUUCUGAAGGCUAAAUGCAUGGUAACUUAAGUAAGUGAUCAUUUCUAUCUCUUUGGGCAUCUGGGUCUCAUUUAAACAGUGCAUUUUCCCCAUUGGGCCUCGAUAUAAUGAUGUCAGGCUUACAGCUGUCAACAGCAAAGUGACAGAAUCCCAUUAGUAGCCUGGAAAAGCUAUCAAGCCCAUCUGAUCUAGUCACCACUGACCGUGUUCCUCAUGUAGCAAAGUGGAACAAGUCUCUUCACAGUCAGCACGUGGACUGCUGUACCUAGAAAUUGCUAUUAGGCUCAAG
ensembl:lncRNA